rnacentral:lncRNA from 1 species
AUUCCCAAGGUGCGCCGCUCAGAUGAAUCUCCUCCGCUCCAACGCCGCCGUUCUUUCCCCUUCCCUCUGAAGCAGCUCCUCUCCCUCUCCAUGGUCCUGAUGGUGACUCCUUUUCCGUCACGGUUCAGACCUCCUCCAGAUCCACCUCCUACAGAUCUGCCGACGUGGUCGCUGUGUAAGUCUCGUCCGUUUAAAGCUCGCUUCCUCAUCGUCCCUCCAGAACCUCCAGAACCCCCAGACGUUCCCCUUCUCCUCGCUCCUCUCCUUCAAACCCUCGAAUCCUCCAUCAAUCCCGUCGUCUUCCUCCCCCGUUGCACCUCUCCGGUUCCUGUUGCUGUAGCUUCUCCUCUGAGGUUCUUUGCAUCGACCAUUGGUUUAACC